CUGAAGCCGAACAGCGCAGCAGAAUACCUUAGAACUAGAAUUCGUCUUGCACGACCGCACACAAAGUUGCCAAUCCCGCCAUCCCUCGCCGCUACAAGGCCGCUGACACGCCGUCCGGUCGACGUCCGCGUGAUAUUGUUAAAGAAUUGCCAGGGUG
rnacentral:lncRNA from 1 species